rnacentral:sRNA from 1 species
CGCCCUGACAAUACGCUGCGUUCGAACUCGACUUUAUGGUGCAGUACGUGUUGCGGUGCAAGGGAUCUGCAAUUGAACUGCCAGAGUUCCAGACCUCCCAAUGAUUGGCUGAGCUUUGUCUCGAUACUUGCCGGUCAUUUGCAAUCAAGUUGAAUCAACAGUCGUAUUUUUGUCGAUCCAAGCAAGGUUGUACUACCUGCGGAAGAGGUAUCAAAUGCGGUGUGUCCAUGGAUGCUACAUCAUCAGGGCGAAAUAUCAUUUUCCUCCCGGUUUCUGCCUUUUGAUCUUCAAAGGCUCGCAUGAAAGGAGGGGAGCAUCGCAAAAAUCAGGAGAUAUUGAGGCGAAUAUGGGUAUUUCAGUUGCUAUAAUAUCAAGCCAUGCUGAAUAUCCAAGCAUUUUAGAACAACAUUUGAUGCCC